rnacentral:lncRNA from 1 species
CUUUCUCUCCCUCCCUUUCUUUUCUUUUCUUUCUUUCUUUCCUUUCCUUCUUUCUUUCUUUCUUUCUUUCCUUCCUUCCUUCCUUCCUUCCUUCUUUCUUUUUCUUUCUUUCUUUCUUUCUCUUUUUUUCUUUCUUUUCUUCUCCUUCCCUCCCUCCCAAAGUGCUAGGAUUCCAGGUGUGAGCCCCACACUGGCCCUUCAGGUAUGUUUCAUAAAACCCAUGCCAAGGUGGCAAGAUGUGCAUUCAUAAGAGGCUCUUAGUUGCCUCUUGUUGAGGUGUG